rnacentral:rRNA from 1 species
CCAAUAGCGUAUAUUAAAGUUGUUGCAGUUAAAAAGCUCGUAGUUGAAUUUCGGGAUCAAUAUAUUGGUCGUGCCUCCGGUACGUACUGGUAUCGUUGAUUUCUACCUUCUGACGAACCAUGAUGUCAUUAAUUUGGUGUCAUGGGAAAUCAGGACUGUUACUUUGAAAAAAUUAGAGUGUUUAAAGCAGGCACACGCUUGAAUACAUUAGCAUGGAAUAAUGAAAUAGGACGUUUGACCCUAUUUUGUUGGUUUCUAGGAUCGACGUAAUGAUUAAUAGGGAUAGUUGGGGGCAUUAGUAUUCAAUUGUCAGAGGUGAAAUUCUUGGAUUUAUUGAAGACUAACUACUGCGAAAGCAUUUGCCAAGGAUGUUUUCAUUAAUCAAGAACGAAAGUUAGGGGAUCGAAGACGAUCAGAUACCGUCGUAGUCUUAACCAUAAACUAUGCCGACUAGGGAUCGGAUGAUGUUAAUUUUUUAAUGACUCAUUCGGCGCCUUACG